GCACGUGGUGGGAGCGGCGGCGGGGAGGUAACUGGUGCCGGGCGCUGCGGCAGCAAUGGCCGGAAAAGCUCGGGGGCACGACCGGGAGCCGCAGGCCGCCUCACACGUGGGCUGCGCGGCCGCCGCGGACUGGCCGAGGCCCGGCGCGCCCGGCGUCGGGAAAGGGUCGGCGCAUCGGCCAGGGCGCGGAGACGCGGGCGGCGAACUCGGUUACCUCUGCUUGUUUCCGGACCACAUUGUCGGGGCUGAGCAGGUUUCCUAGGAGCAGGAGAAAACACAUUUGCCACUGAAGAUUUUGUAUGAUAUCAUCUUGUAGCCAAAGCAAAAGUUGUGGGAGGAAGCAGCAGAAGAUGAAGAUGAAAUAGGCUGGGGCUGAUUACAAAACACCAUGAAGCUUGAUGGAGAUACCUCUUACUGGGCCUCUCUGAAUCUGCUUCAUCAGAUGCGUGACAUAGCC